rnacentral:rRNA from 1 species
GUGUAGACGGUUUUUUAAGUCAGUUGUGAAAUCUCCCGACUCAAUCUGGAGUCUGCAAUUGAUACUGGAGAGCUUGAGGGCAUCAGAAGAAAGCGGAAUUCACGGUGUAGCGGUGAAAUGCGUAGAUAUCGUGAGGAACACCAGUGGCGAAGGCGGCUUUCUAGGAUGCUCCUGACGUUGAGGCCCGAAAGUGUAGGGGAGCGAAACGGAUUAGAUACCCGUGUAGUCCACACCCUAAACUUUGAAUACUAGGUAUGGGGGGUAUCGACCCUCUCUGUGCCGAAGCUAACGCUCUAAGUAUUCCGCCUGGGGACUACGGCCACAAGGCUAAA